ACAGUUGUAGUGUAUCCUUCGAAGGGGUGAAAAGUUGUUUUUCACACACUUUUGCACCGUACAAACGAAGCGGCCCGUCGUUUUUUGAAUUUGAAUUUUUUAACAACAAAUGCCGCCGUUCAUUCUCCUCACUCUCUCUCGCACACACACACACAAACGAAAACAAAUAAUUUGCUCAUCUACUAUUUUUAUAAAACAAAAAAUACAAAUAAAUCUAAAGUGCUAAAACAAAUAAUAAAUAAAUUCAUUUAACAGUUGUGGGUGCGUUUUUGUGUUGAAUGUUUUAUGCCGAAAAUUUUGUGCAGUGUUACUCACUAAAACGAAAAAAGGCAAAAUCAAACAAAAAAUAUUGGAAAUGAAGAAGAAAUACAUAUAAAACUAAAAAUUUGUGAAAAUUUUGUGGAAGUGCAUUUUAUUUUGAGUUUUGGGGAAAUUCAAAAACAAAAACUGAAAGUGAACGUCGUUUGUGUAAAAUAACGCGCGAGCAAAUAAAUAAUCGAAGGAUAACACGUCGAAAUCAAAAGUGCAAAGCAGCAAAAACUGCCAAAGUUUUGUAUUUUAUUUGAAUGUAUACAUAGUACAGUUUAAAAAUAUUUUAAAAUCGAAAAAAAAAAUCAAAGAGUGUUUAAAAUAAUAAAGAAAGGGUUAAGUCUCCCCCUCCCCUUCGUUUAUGUUGAAAGUUUUGUUCGGUUAUUUAAUAAAAAAGUUCCAACACAUUUCCGACAAAAAUUCUUUAUACAUAAAUUGUAUGGCGCUGGAUAAUGAUAAUUGUACAACGCUGCCAGUAAAUGGAUAAAUACAGACAAAGGUAUUUAUUUAAUCAUGCAAAAAUAAACAAUGUGGCGAAUUUAAACUAAAAAACACAUCCACAUAAACAUAGUAACACAAUAACACGAAAAGCAGCUGCCGGCAAAAUUCGUUUUCAGCCGUAACACAAACACAUGCAAAUAAAAAGGCGCAAUCUAUUCGUCCAUGCCGCAGUUGAAUCAACAAUCAAAGUCACAUUUCAAGAGAGAAAAAGAUAAAACAAAACGGAGAAGAAUAAAAUUAAAAAAAAAACCGAUAAACUAAAAAAACCCAAAGCUUGAGUACUGUGUACAAGUAAAGAGGCCUCUUAAGGAACGAGGGGCUGUUCGCAUGCGUUGGCGCAGUUCGCCAAAAAAAUAUACAUAUGUAUUUAUGUACAUAUAAACAGUUGAAGAAUGACACAAAGCAAACGACAGAAUUGUAGCUCAACAAAAAAAAAAAAAAAAACAAUAAAAAAACCUUAAACGUAAAUCAAAAAAGCAAUAAGAAACAAUAAAAGUACUUUGUGUUGAAAAAAGCGCAUAACAGAAAAAGUAAAAAGCGGAACAGAUUGUAGUGCCAUAGCGUUCUGGACACAGGAAGAGGAAAAUGAAAACAAACUGUUUUGAAGCCAAAGCUAAACGAAAAUGAAGGCGAAAGACAUGCCAAAUGAAAUAAAGAAAGCAUCAUCAACAUGAAAUAACUGCAACUGGAAGAUAAUCAAACAAUUUGCUACCGUUUCUUGGAUAAAUGUGAGCUUGCGCCGGUUGCCUUCUUGUUAAUGACGUUGAUGACAAAGAACAAGGAGCACAAGAACAAGAAAACGACGACGAUAACGAGAAAAAUUGUACUGAGUGACGUGUAGUUGCCCAUCAUAAAGGCAAUAAUAAAAUCGAGUAACCGCAAUGACUCCGUAAAAAAGCUGCACAACAAAAUUUUAUACACGAAAACAACAGUAAAUGACGUUGCUGACAGUAAAAAAUCAACUACAUGCAUACAUAAAUACAUAUAAUUAUCUUAAA